CGGUAAUACGUAGGGGGCAAGCGUUAUCCGGAAUUACUGGGCGUAAAGGGUGCGUAGGCGGCUUUUCAAGUCAACGCUGAAAGGCUAUCGGCUCAACCGUAGUAAGGCGUUGAAACUGGAGAGCUUGAGUAUCGGAGAGGAAAGUGGAAUUCCCAGUGUAGCGGUGAAAUGCGUAGAUAUUGGGAGGAACACCAGUGGCGAAGGCGACUUUCUGGACGAUGACUGACGCUGAGGCACGAAAGCGUGGGGAGCAAACAGGAUUAGAUACCCUGGUAGUCCACGCCGUAAACGAUGAGUACUAGGUGUCAGGUGUCAAAGCUUGGUGCCGCAGUUAACACAUUAAGUACUCCCCNUGGGGAGUACGCUCGCAAGAGUGAAACUCAAAGGANUUGACGGGANCCNCACAAGUAACGGAACAUGUGGUUUAAUUCG
rnacentral:rRNA from 1 species